rnacentral:rRNA from 1 species
AUUGAACGCUGGCGGCAGGCCUAACACAUGCAAGUCGAACGAGUGGCGGACGGGGGAGUAAUGUCUCGGAAAAUGCCCGAUGGAGGGGGAUAACUACUGGAAACGGUAGCUAAUACCGCAUACGAUCUGCAGUGCCCACAGGGGUUUAGCUCGUAGGUGAGGUAACGGCUCACCUAGGCGACGAUCCCUAGCUGGUCUGAGAGGAUGACCAGCCACACUGGAACUGAGACACGGACCAGACUCCUACGGGAGGCAGCAGUGGGGAAUAUUGCACAAUGGGCGCAAGCCUGAUGCAGCCAUGCCGCGUGUAUGAAGAAGGCCUUCGGGUUGUAAAGUACUUUCAGCGGGGAGGCGUUACCCGCAGAAGAAGCACCGGCUAACUCCGUGCCAGCAGCCGCGGUAAUAC